GAUGAACGCUGGCGGCGUGCCUAAUACAUGCAAGUCGAGCGAACGGACGAGAAGCUUGCUUCUCUGAUGUUAGCGGCGGACGGGUGAGUAACACGUGGAUAACCUACCUAUAAGACUGGGAUAACUUCGGGAAACCGGAGCUAAUACCGGAUAAUCUUUUGAAACGCAUGGUUCAAAAGUGAAAGACGGUCUUGCUGUCACUUAUAGAUGGAUCCGCGCUGCAUUAGCUAGUUGGUAAGGUAACGGCUUACCAAGGCAACAAUGCAUAGCCGACCUGAGAGAGUGAUCGGCCACACUGGAACUGAGACACGGUCCAGAUUCUAACGGGAGGCAGCAGGAGGGAAACUUCCGCAAUGGGCGAAAGCCUGACGGGGCAACGCCGCGUGAGUGAUGAAGGUCUUCGGAUCGUAAAACUCUGUUAUUAGGGAAGAACAUAUGUGUAAGUAACUGUGCACAUCUUGACGUUACCUAAUCAGAAAGCCACGGCUAACUACGUG
rnacentral:rRNA from 1 species